rnacentral:rRNA from 1 species
UCCGGUGAGGAUACCUGGUAGGUCACACUCGUUUCCAUUCCGAACACGACCGUUAAGCUGCCAGGGCCGAUGAUAGUGCCGCAAGGUGUGAAAGUAGGUUAUCGCCGGAG